AGAGUUUGAUCCUGGCUCAGGAUGAACGCUGGCGGCGUGCCUAAUACAUGCAAGUCGAACGCUGGAAAUCUAGCUUGCUAGAUUGAAGGAGUGGCGAACGGGUGAGUAAUACAUAAGCAACCUACCCACGAAGACUGGGAUAAUCUCUGGAAACGGGGACUAAUACCGGAUAGGUAAUCGGAAGGCAUCUUCUGAUUAUUAAAGGUUAAAAACACUGGUGGAUGGGCUUAUGGCGCAUUAGUUAGUUGGUGAGGUAACGGCCCACCAAGACGAUGAUGCGUAGCCGGCCUGAGAGGGUGAACGGCCACAUUGGGACUGAGACACGGCCCAGACUCCUACGGGAGGCAGCAGUGGGGAAUCUUCCGCAAUGGACGAAAGUCUGACGGAGCAACGCCGCGUGAGUGAUGACGGCCUUCGGGUUGUAAAGCUCUGUUGUAAGGGAAGAACGGUAGAUAGAGAAUAUCUAAGUGACGGUACCUUACCAGAAAGCCACGGCUAACUACGUGCCAGCAGCCGCGGUAAUACGUAGGUGGCGAGCGUUAUCCGGAAUUAUUGGGCGUAAAGGGUGCGUAGGCGGCCUGUUAAGUAAGUGGUUAAAUUGUUGGGCUCAACCCAAUCCAGCCACUUAAACUGGCAGGCUAGAGUAUUGGAGAGGCAAGUGGAAUUCCAUGUGUAGCGGUAAAAUGCGUAGAUAUAUGGAGGAACACCAGUGGCGAAGGCGGCUUGCUAGCCAAAGACUGACGCUCAUGCACGAAAGCGUGGGGAGCAAAUAGGAUUAGAUACCCUAGUAGUCCACGCCGUAAACGAUGAAUACUAAGUAUUGGGGAAACUCAGUGCUGCAGCUAACGCAAUAAGUAUUCCGCCUGUGGAGUAUGCACGCAAGUGUGAAACAUAAAGGAAUUGACGGGGGCCCGCACAAGCGGUGGAGUAUGUGGUUUAAUUCGACGCAACGCGAAGAACCUUACCAGGCCUUGACAUCCCUUGCAAAGCUGUAGAGAUACAGUAGAGGUUAUCAAGGAGACAGGUGGUGCAUGGUUGUCGUCAGCUCGUGUCGUGAGAUGUUGGGUUAAGU
rnacentral:rRNA from 1 species